UACGAACCGUCCAAACGUUAUUCGGAUUUAUUGGGCUUAAAGGGUAUGUAGGCGGCCCUUCAAGUCGGGUGUGAAAGCCCUCGGCUCAACCGAGGAACUGCGCCCGAUACUGUGGGGCUUGAGGGAGACAGAGGUAAGCGGAACUGAUGGUGGAGCGGUGAAGUGCGUUGAUAUCAUCAGGAACACCAGUGGCGAAAGCGGCUUACUGGGUCUCUUCUGACGCUGAGAUACGAAAGCUAGGGGAGCGAACGGG
rnacentral:rRNA from 1 species